UAAGACCUCUUGUGUAAGACUAGCAGCGGGAUGUCAGACUGCGGUGGUAAUGAUUGGAGGUAUGUAUCCAAUACUUUCACCGGGCACCAUUUGUUUGCAGUAGGAUAAUGUGUGACUGGUACUAUCUUGCCCAGCUGGCUUGUUUUCGUAACUGGUAGUGACAGGAUAUAGUGAUCAUGUAGUUUGGUGAGAUGGGACCAUUUGAG